rnacentral:rRNA from 1 species
AGUGAACGCUGGCGGUAUGCCUAACACAUGCAAGUCGAACGGCCGCACAGUAAGCUCUUGCUCUUACGGUUGGCGAGUGGCGGACGGGUGAGUAAUACAUCGGAUUCUACUUUUUCUUGGGGGAUUACGUAUGGAAACUUCCGCUAAUACCGCAUACGACCUACCUCUUAAAGCAUUAGUUCUUCGCACUUUUCGCGAUUCAUUUAGCCGAUGUCGGAUUAGCUAGUUGGCUGGGUAAAGUCCCACCAAGGCAACGAUGCGUAGCUUAUCUGAGAGGAUGAGCAGCCACACUGGAACUGAGACACGGUCCAGACUACUACGGGAGGCAGCAGUGGGGAAUAGUGGACAAUGGGCGAAAGCCUGAUCCAGCAAUACCGCGUGGGUGAAGAAGGUCUUCGGGUCGUAAAGCCCUGUUGUUGGGAAAGAAAAGAAGUAGGAGAAUAGACCGAUGUCUUGACGGUACCCAAAGAAAAAGCAACGGCUAACUACGUG